rnacentral:rRNA from 1 species
UACGGAGGGGGCUAGCGUUGUUCGGAAUUACUGGGCGUAAAGCGUACGUAGGCGGCUUUGUAAGUUAGAGGUGAAAGCCCGGGGCUCAACUCCGGAAUUGCCUUUAAGACUGCAUCGCUCGAAUCAUGGAGAGGUGAGUGGAAUUCCGAGUGUAGAGGUGAAAUUCGUAGAUAUUCGGAAGAACACCAGUGGCGAAGGCGACUCACUGGACAUGUAUUGACGCUGAGGUACGAAAGCGUGGGGAGCAAACAGGG